AUUGAACGCUGGCGGCAUGCUUUACACAUGCAAGUCGAACGGUAACAGGCCGCAAGGUGCUGACGAGUGGCGAACGGGUGAGUAAUGCAUCGGAACGUGCCCAGUCGUGGGGGAUAACGCAGCGAAAGCUGCGCUAAUACCGCAUACGAUCUAUGGAUGAAAGCGGGGGACCGAAAGGCCUCGCGCGAUUGGAGCGGCCGAUGUCAGAGUAGGUAGUUGGGGGGGUAAAGGCUCACCAAGCCAACGAUCUGUAGCUGGUCUGAGAGGACGACCAGCCAGACUGGGACUGAGAAACGGCCCAGACUCCUACGGGAGGCAGCAGUGGGGAAUUUUGGACAAUGGGCGCAAGCCUGAUCCAGCAAUGCCGCGUGCAGGAAGAAGGCCUUCGGGUUGUAAACUGCUUUUGUACGGAACGAAACGGUCCUGGUUAAUACCUGGGGCUAAUGACGGUACCGUAAGAAUAAGCACCGGCUAACUACGUGCCAGCCGCCGCGGUAAUAC
rnacentral:rRNA from 1 species